rnacentral:tRNA from 1 species
GGACGGGUGGCCGAGCGGUCAAUGGCAGCAGACUGUAAAUCUGCCGGGUUUUCCCUACGUUGGUUCAAAUCCAACCCCGUCCACCA